CCUACGGUGGGCAGCAGUGAGGCAUAUUGGUCAAUGGGCGCGAGCCUGAACCAGCCAAGUCGCGUGAGGGAAGACGGCCCUACGGGUUGUAAACCUCUUUUUCCGGGGAGCAACGGGCGCCACGUGUGGCGCCACUGAGAGUACCCGGAGCAAAAGCAUCGGCUAACUCCGUGCCAGCAGCCGCGGUAAUACGAAGGAUGCGAGCGUUAUCCGGAUUUAUUGGGUUUAAAGGGUGCGUAGGCGGAGCGUUAAGUCAGUGGUCAAAUUGAGGGGCUCAACCCCUUCCCGCCAUUGAAACUGGCGCUCUUGAGUGGAAGAGAAGUAUGCGGAAUGCGUGGUGUAGCGGUGAAAUGCGUAGAGAUUAGGAAGAACACCAGUGGCGAAGGCGAUUCUCUGGACUGUAACUGACGCUGAGGCUCGAAAGCGUGGGGAGCAAACAGGAUUAGAUACCCUGGUAGUC
rnacentral:rRNA from 1 species